rnacentral:lncRNA from 1 species
GUGAGUACCCGGUUGAGUCCUGGCUGACGGUGCUCUCCGUGCCCGUUAUCCGGACCGCCUUCCUGCCAGAGGAGCGUCCGGAGACGUGUGGGACCUCUGGUCGGGUUCGCUGGGUCGGGGAGUUUGGAUCGAAAAAGCAGAUGGACUCCAUUUAAGACCAGGAACCAUUUUGAGACUCUUCCUAAGUUAGGGACUGGAGGGCCACUUCUCAGGGUGUGCACCUUGAGACGUUCCAAGGCCCCUGCAGGCUUGAUUUCAGUUACGAGGUCCACAGCUGCACCAAAAGAAAACCAGCAGGCACCUGUAUGAGGAGCCUCCAUUGUCUAGGCUGCCCAACUGACCGGGCACUGCUUGCCUGACCCACCUGUUCCAACCUGAUGACACUGCCAUUUCAAGACUCACUGGAUGGAACCAAGACGAUGCCCCUCUAUCAGGAUUCUCUGGAUGCCCAGUGCUGGUCAAGCAUUCAUCCGGAACUACCAAUUGUGCGGUUAUUGCAUUGUUUCCAAGAUGAGAGCACACAGCGUGCACCUGGACCAUUAGGACUGUGCUGUGCUGUGCCCUAUGCCUCAAGUUUUGAUUGUUUAAGGAUCAUUAUGGGGUUGGAGAGAUGGUUCAGUGGCUAAGAGCACUGACUGCUCUUCCAGAGGUCCUGAGUUUAAAUCCUGGCAAACACAUGGUGGCUCACAACCAUCUGUAAUGAGAUCUGAUGCCUCUUCUGGUGUGUCUGAAGACAGCUAUAGUGUACUUAUAUAUAAUAAAUGAAUAAAUCUU